AGACAGAGAAAGACAAAUACUGUAUGUCCCCCCUUUAUGUGGAAUUUUAAAAAACCAAACUUAUAGAAAUGAAGAGUAGAACGAUGGUUACCAGGGCCCAGGGGGUGGAGGAAAUAGGGAGACGUCAGUCAAAGUAUACAAACUUCCAGUUAGAAGAUGAAUAAGUUCCAGGGAUCUAAUGCACAUCAUAGGGAUUACAGCUAAUAAUAGUGUUUUAUGUACUUGAAAGUUGCUAAGAGAGUAGAUCUUAAAUUUUCUCACCACAAAAAGAAAUGGUAAUUACGUGUAGUGAUGAAGGUGUCAACUAACCCUACUGUGGUAAUCAUUUCAAAAUAUAUACAGGUAUCAAAUCAUCACAUUGUACACCUUAAACUUACACAAUAUUAUAAGUCAAUUAUAUCUCAGUAAGCUGGGGAAAACCCCCCACAUAUCUCCACAAAAGACUUGUACAAAAACAUUUAUAAUGACUUCAUCAUAAUGGCCAAAGCCUGGUAACAAGCCAAAUGUCCCUCAACAACUGAAUGGCUAAAUGAAUUACAGUAUAUUCAUACAAAGGAAUACUACUCAGCAAUAAAAAGAAACACAUUACUGAUACAACAAAGUGGAUGAAUCUCAAAGACAUUAUGUUGCAUCAAGGUAGCUAGAUGAAAAGAGUACACACAGUAUAAUUCCAUUUAUAUGAAGAUCUACAGGUAAAGCUAAGCUACAAUGAUAGAAAUCAGAAGAGCAAUUGCUUCUAGAUGAGGGGUAAUUGAUGGAAGAGGACUGGAGAAAACUUUCUGGGGGAUAAAAAGUGUUCUAUAUAUUAAUAAGGGUGCAUAUAUUUGUCAAGACUCAUUCAACUGUACACUUAGAAUCUGAGCAUUUUAUUGCAUAUAAAAAAUGAAUUUGAAUGCUUUAGACAGGUCAUGCACUUUCUAGGUCCUGGCUAUUUAUAGUGUUGCGAAUAUGUUAGUUGGUUUACACUGGCCCCAAGAAAGACCUAGAAAUCAGGCAGAGGGGUGUGGAAGAGAUUCUUUAGCAGGGAAGGAGAGAGUGGAGAAGAGAGUCACUCAAACGGAAAAGAAAUACAAAUGAAGGAAGAAGUUGAAUAUUCACUUGGCAUUGAGUCUUAUACUGCCUUCGACUAUUUCCCCUUUUCCACAUGUCUUCUCUUUAAGAUGAGAUUUCAAACUCUUCAAAGGUGGUGAUGUGUCUUGUAAGCCCUUGCAUCUCCCAAAGCUAUCUUAUGCAGACAGACAGAGUUCGGUAAACGUCGUAGAAAGAGAGCUGUGAUUUAGAAUAUUUUCCGGUGGAUUUUAUGUGUCUUUCUUGGAAUGGCAGAUGCAAAUUAUGUGAGAACCAAGACUGUUCUAUAUUUCCUAGGGUCUAACACAGUGUCAGGCACAUGGAAUCAUAUAUAUUCAUUGAUAAACUGAAGUGUACACUAGAGAGAAAAAUAAAUGAUCUCCUCUCAAAGCCCUAUGGUUUCUCCCUUUUCCCCAACCCCACAACCAAUCUUCCAGCAGUGGAAAUCUUUAAAUCUGCUUUUUGCUGUUUUACAGCCGUUUGCAUUUAAAUUGGGCGUGUCGCUAUCACAUUUUAUUAGCUAUUCCUCAUACCAGCCCUGUGAGGUUAGCGCUGUUAUCUGCAUUUUACAGGCGAGGGCACUGAGAGGUGAAGCAACUUGCCCGGUUGGAUCACACAAUGAGCAGCUGGCAGAAGUGGGAUUUGCGUGUGCAGGUUCCGCCUCUCCAGCCUGCCACAGAGUUGUGUAGCUUUGAACGUGAUAAUGAAAUGUGGAUUUUUCUAUACUAGACUUGGAAAAUCAGUUUAAAGGCGUUAAUUCCAGAAGAAAGAUUUAGGAUUGUAAUUCUUUGGCUCGAUUAUUUUUCCUGAGUAGAUUUUUUAGCUACUUCACUGGGCUGCCUAGACCCAGGGUCUUUGAAAUGACACACUCAAUCCAGAGAUUCAGGACCAUUAUUUUUUGCUCAAAAACUCCACCUCUCAGAAGUCCCUCUCCCUUCAGCAACCUCCCAGUAGAGCCCACCCAUAUAGCAUAACCUUUAAACAAUAUCUUAAUUGGAGUACAAUAAUUUUAUAAAGUCAGAAGAGGAUUUAGGGCUUAUCUAAUUAAGAAAAAUUGAAUGUGGUUCAUGAACUUCCCUAAAUGUAAAACGCAUGUAAAAUUUGGGUAUGAAUAGAUAUGUUUGUUUUUUUUUUCUGAGAAAGUCAAGCUUUCAGAAAGUUCUCCUUAAAAUGUGUAUGUCUCUAACAGAUUGGGAAAUUGAAGCUCAGCAAGUUUAAGGAACUUGCCUUAAGUGUCACACAGGCAGACAACAACAGUCCUUGAUCCAGAGUCUCAGUCCUCCAUUGAGGCGGCAGGACUCUGUUACCUUGGUUCCUGGAACAUGCAGUUCACUUGAAGAACGGCACCCACAGGCUCUUGAACUCAUAGACUUUGUUCUAAAGAAUUGGUUUUCCCAAAAUGGUAGCCUUCGUCAAGAUAAAACCACUAGUCUGGCCUUUCCUUCAUCUGAAUAAAUUGGCUUUCCUGAAGGACCCUGGGCUGAGGGAGCUCAUGCUUCUCUGUCCUUUUUUUAGCAGCAGAAGGCGAGGUCAGCACUUCCCAGAAUUCCCAGUUCUGAUAACUCAGCCCAACGCGAUUAACAAUAACAUUAUUGCAUCACCCACUAACUCCCUACGUGGCGCUGGAUGAUUCAAUUAGGACAAGUGGUUUUCAACGUUGGCUGCACUUUAGAUUCACCCGGGGUAACUUUUAAAACUCCCCAAGCCCUGGCCAGGGCUCACCCUGAACCAAUUAAACCCAAAUGUGUGGAGGAAGAACUCAAUCAAGAGUAUGUUUUUAAAGGUCCUGAAGUGAUUCCAAUGUGCAACCCAACUUGAAAACCACUAACAGAAGCAAGAGAAAAAAAUUCAUAUUGAUGAGGCACCUAUCGUGUACCGGAUAUUUUACGUAUGCUAGCUCAUUUACUCCUCCCUGACUCGGAGGGGCUGUAUAAAUUUUCUAAAAAUCAUACCGCUGGAAAGUGGCAAAGUCCAACUUUAAACCUGGGUCGUUGUAAUUCCCGAGGCAAGCUUUCAUCACAGGAACAGAUGGUUUCCUGAAAGCUCUCUGUAAAACAUAGUUUUCAUGACGAUUAAAUGAGGUGUCAUCCAUUAAGCACCUGGCACACAGUAGGUGGGCCUGAAUGAUCUCUAUGUCUCCAUUUCUCAGCCUAUUUAUCUAGAAUGUUCCUCCUGGCCCAUGCUAUGACAGGACACCAAGACUUUAGGUCAGGGAGCUUCAUGCUAACCCCAUGGCUAUGCAGUUAUAACGUCUUCUUUAGACACCAACUGUGUUAUAUCAUAAUUUCGUUGUAUGGGGUGUUAGGUUUUAGGGAACUUAAGUUGAUGGAAUACAUAACUGAAAUAUGUCCUUCCUAUUACAUGUAUUUUAUAGAUGCUCUUAGCUUUAUAUAUUUUGAUGUUCUAUAGGCAUUACUUCUCUCUCUUGUCGUUAUGGGAUGGGUUGAUUCUCAAUUUAACUGAUGGGAAAGUUGGCAUUGGUGGCAUUGCCCUGCCAUGCAGUUGAAAUCUGAAGUAACCAGAUCAUCCGUCCAUCCAUCACUGUCUUCAAAGCACUAGAGCAGGCGGCUGUGCCCUAGUAAUUCUGACAGUUUCCCCUGUCUUCUAGUCUAUCUGUGAGGCUCAUGAAUCAUUUAAAAAAUUUUCUUCUGAAUUGGUGGCAUUCAGUUAAAUGGGGCAUGGAUGGGAGCAGCGACUUCAAGACAAGAUGCCUCCUCAGGAUGAGACCAGUGUUGGCGUCUGCCAAGGAGGGGAGGCAGUGGCCUUGUCCAUAAUGCCUCUGUAUACUGAUAGGUACUGAAGGGUUUGACUGAAGCACUAACAGUAGUAAUACUUAAUGAUUAUAGCAGCCACUUAUGCCAAGCAUUGUCUAAGUGCUUUGUGAUAAGUGACAUAGCCAGGAGUCAAACCCAGGCAGUAUUCAAAUCCAGAGUCUGGUUUCUUACACCAGUACUAUACUUUUGGAAGCACUGGUGGGCUGGAUGGACUCUCGCUGAGGGAACGGGAGUCUGUGUCAACCUCAGAGGAGGAGGGAAUGAGACAUGUGGCUGGCCGUGUCCAUGCCCUUAUCCUUCCUCUGUCCCCUAUUCCUCCAAAUCAGUGUUCACCAACCUCCUUCUGAGAGAGAAGGAUGCGCAGGAGUCAGAGAUACCCAUAGGUAAAGGGAAGAGAGAGGAGGGAGCGAACAUCUCUCUCUUCUUCUCACUUUAUUCUCUUAUUUAUCAAGCCCUGCUUUGAGGGCUGCCUAUGUGUCUGACAUGGCUUUCAGUUCUCUGUACAUGUUAACUCAGGGAAAUCAGGUCACUUGCCAAGAUCCACUGCUCUAAGGAGUGGGACUAGGUGUGAACCCAAACCUUAUCAAACUGAUGACAUACAGUGCCAGGCUUCUCACUUUGGGUACUUUCUACUCACUUAAAGGGAUUUUUAACAGAGAUUUUUGGUAGAGCAUAAUAAUUCAAGUAAAACAAAAUUAAUUUCUCAUUGGGGAAUGGAAAGUCGGGGGCAUUAAAACUGGAGGGCUUCUUCCUGAGAAGCCUCACUGUGCAUGUAUGUGUUUCCAUCAGUGCUGGUCUGGGUCCUUGUCUGAAUAUUGCACUAAUUCAUUUGGUCUUUGUCUUCCUGGCAGUACCACCAGAUGCUGUUGCAAAGAAGCUCUGAUAGAUCAAUAUUUUCACAUCAUCAAGCCUUAUUUCACAUUUCCAUAAGAAGCCAAGGCAAUUUCAGUUUGUUAAAGCUGUGUUAUGCCCAGUGGUUUGAGGACUGAGUUGCUAAUGGAAAAAAGAACAAGAGGAAGAAUCUUCUGGAAUGAUCCAUAUGCAGUGCUAAUUCUAAGCAUGAAAAAAUAAUAACUCAUUUUUAUUGAGUGGUCUCCACAUACCAAACUGUGCCACGCACUUUACCUACACGGUUGCAUUUAAUCCUACAGAGGCCUUGCACAUGGGUUUUAAAGUGUUUCAACAGUUGCAGGAUGACACAGUUCUGCUUUUCUAAAGGCUUCCCUCCUUCUGCCACUUUCCUAUCCACUCCGGCUGCAACAGCCAGCAAAUUCAGUCACCCAGCCAAGUGGGUGAGGAAGAAUGAAGAAACCUGAGCCAAGGCUGCGCCCUCCGAGGCAGUGGGAGUGGUGAGAAGGGCAGAGUGCCAAAGGCCUGGGAAACCGGCUUGUUGCUUCUUCAGCCAACCUCAUCUAGGGCUCUCUGGUGUGAGGUUGUGGCUGUGAAUAUCUUAUCAACAGAGACUCUCUCAACUUCAAUACUUCUGGCUCUGCUGUUAUUUUCUAGAGCGUGCAGAACUGGCCCUGGUAUUUCACCUGGCUUGCUUUGGUCUCAGCAGCGCUUCCUAAAUAAAGAAUAUGCGCAUGAUAUAUACUGAGGGGAUGGAUUAGAUUGUUUGGGUUCAAAUUCUGGCUGUGCCACUUACCUGUAAUGUGACCUUGGACCAGUUCCUUAAGCUCUCAAUAUUUCUGCUUCCUCAACUGUAAAAUGGAAAUAAUAACAGUAUACAUUGCAUGGGAUUGUUGAGAAAUAUUAGAUGAGUCAGUAUUUGUCAAGUGCCUAUCACAUGGUAGGUGCUAUAUAAGUAUUUGUUUAAAAAGUAAAUAAGGAUGAGAAAGGCAGAAACAGUCAUAGCUGUCUGGGCCCUAUUUGUUUGAAGUCACAUCUUUCUUGACAUAAACCUGAGACAUCUAAAGCUACAAAGAAAGAUUGAAUUUUUUUGUUGUUCCCUGCUGGCUGCCCCACGUGAUCUCAGUGAUGGGAAAUAAGGAGAACUCACAGGAAUUUAAGAGCCAUGAAACACCUACUGGGUGGCCGGGACUCCCUAUGGACGUAUACAGCAAGCAGCUCAUUUAAAUCUUAUGAGGUAGGGACUGUCACUGCCCUCAUUUACAGAGGAGGAGAUUGAGGCUCAGAGGAGUGAUGUAACUUGACCACAGUCACACGCGGACGAGUGGUGGAGGUGGGAUUCAACCACAGCUCUUAUACCUCGCUACCCUAGGUUGCAGAGUCCUGGAUCUGACCCAGUACCACCAGAACUCCCCUGGGCCGGGUCCCAGGCUUAUUUGGCAUGGGACAGGCAUCCAUUAGAAGAUUUCACAAUGAUUUGCCAUGUGACAGCUCUAAACAGAUGUGAACUCAUCACCAAAGGAAAUUUAUGUUUUGCCAUCUUUUCCCCCACCUCUCCCUGGGGAGCUGCAGGGAAAAGCACUCCAAGCGAAUUAAUCAAAAUGACUAGAGAGAAGCCAUCUAUGAUCUUCAGAGUCUAAAGACUUCCGUUCAAGUCCUCCCGCCACCGUAUUUGACAUGGAAUGUCAGGCUAUCUAUCCUGCUAAUUAUAAAAUCAUCCAUCACCUCGAGUCUAAUAAGACAACAGUUGAAGAGCAAUUGAAAACACAGAGAUUGAGCAAUGGCUGGUUUCCAGAACACAAAAUCGACGCUACGAAACACUUUGCAAGAUGGCAUAUUUCUUUUCUCCCUCAGCCUGGAUUACUUCUUAGUGUUCCUAAUUCUGCUGGCAAGAGUCCUGUUGAAUUCAGGAAAACCAUAUGAAACCCAUCCUGGGCGUUGCCAAAAUAAAUUGUUAAUCAUAUCAGAUGUAGCACCAAAGAGUGUUCCAUCAUAGUCAAUUUUCUGUUUUGUAACUGUCCCCUUGGCUUCAUUCAGGAUCUGCCAAGAGGAAAGGAAGCCCAUAUUGUACAUGCCACAUCUCAUUAUCCACUGGAGGAGAGAGGACGGUGGGGAAUGCUCAUGGGGUCAAGAUGAGGUACAAAAAUCUUACAGAACUGAUCCAAAGUCACGUACUUCACUCUUGGUCAAACCAGGAUACAAACGCAUUUUCGUGACUUCUUUUCCGCAGUUCUGUUCCGAAGACUAGGCAAAUCUUCCAAAAUCAGAAAGGUAAGCCAAUUCCUAUAUGCAGGGAUGUAAUCUGUAAGGUACUUUUUUUUUUUUUGAGGAAGAUUAGCCCUGAACUAACUACUGCCAGU